UACGUAGGGUGCAAGCGUUAAUCGGAAUUACUGGGCGUAAAGCGUGCGCAGGCGGUUCGUUGUGUCGGCGGUGAAAGCCCCGGGCUUAACCUGGGAAUGGCCGUUGAAACUGGCGAACUGGAGUGUGGCAGAGGGGGGUGGAAUUCCGCGUGUAGCAGUGAAAUGCGUAGAGAUGCGGAGGAACACCGAUGGCGAAGGCAGCCCCCUGGGCUAACACUGACGCUCAGGCACGAAAGCGUGGGGAGCAAACAGA
rnacentral:rRNA from 1 species